rnacentral:rRNA from 1 species
AGCGAACGCUGGCGGCAGGCCUAACACAUGCAAGUCGAACGAAGCCUUCGGGCUUAGUGGCGGACGGGUGAGUAACACGUGGGAACGUACCUUUUGGUUCGGAACAACUCAGGGAAACUUGAGCUAAUACCGGAUGAGCCCUUUGGGGGAAAGAUUUAUCGCCAUUAGAGCGGCCCGCGUUAGAUUAGCUAGUUGGUGAGGUAAAGGCUCACCAAGGCUACGAUCUAUAGCUGGUCUGAGAGGAUGAUCAGCCACACUGGGACUGAGACACGGCCCAGACUCCUACGGGAGGCAGCAGUGGGGAAUCUUGCGCAAUGGGCGAAAGCCUGACGCAGCCAUGCCGCGUGAAUGAUGAAGGUCUUAGGAUUGUAAAAUUCUUUUACCAGGGACGAUAAUGACGGUACCUGGAGAAAAAGCCCCGGCUAACUUCGUGCCAGCCGCCGCCGUAACAC